rnacentral:lncRNA from 13 species
CCUGGGAGACCAAACAAGUAUGAUUGCAAGGGUAACCAACAAACAGGUACAGGGACAGUAGCUUUCAGUGUGUCCUCAUGAUAACCAAAUUGCCAACCAAACCUCUUCUGUGUGCUCUUGUUUGUGAGACUAAGAUUCAGCUUUCUUCAGACUAAGAUCACAGCUUGGGUGUGUGUUGAUCCUGCUUCAAGCUAGCAAAGCCUCAGAAGCCCUCUAUCAUCAGAAUCAGAAAGCUUCCACCAGCUCAGAGGAAAUAGCUGGAGACUAUUCUUGAAGAACUGUCAUCUGUAGUACUGGAAUUAAGUGUCCUGUUUGGGUCUCACUGACCUGCUACUCCAGAGACACUUGCUGGCAUCUGAAAGCUCAUUCUGGGAUCUGGGAAUGAAACAGAAUUCAGGGAGGAAGCCUUAGAAGUGCCUUAUGUUCAGAAAGACCCUGUGUCCUCUUAAGGGAGCAUCAUUGGCAGGAAGGGCUGUGAAAAAUCGAGAGAGAGUGAAACAUCAAUUCCCCAAAGAGUUACUUUCUCAAAGUGUUGAAAGUCAAUUCAACAAGUAUUUAUUGAGCUUCUACCCCUGCCCUUGGGGACACCGGUGGUAUAAAAUCAAGAAUCUUCCACAACAUUUGAUUCAUUUUGAUUUAAAACCAGCAGCCCAGAAAGCCUACUCAAGGUUGCAGUUGCUCUUCAUAUAUAAAUAUUUUUCUACAGUUUGAGCUUUUAUGUAUACCAAUGCUGAGUCUUAGAACUCUGUUUUUUUCCCUCAUAGAUCACUGUACAAAAACUUUGAACAUGGUAGUAAUUGAAAGGUUAUCUACAUUAAAAUAAGUCAAUUUUUUUUAAUACAGAAAGAAUUUUAAUUUUGAGAAAAGGUAGAAACUUACAUUUUUAAUGUAUGAAUAUUUGUUUUUCUCUUUUGUUUGUAUCUCAUUAACACAGUCUAUUCUGGUGAACUGAAUGGCACUUUCUGUUUUUAUUUGCUUUUAUUUUGCUUAUCAAUACAGUAAUGAAGAGAUGAUUUAAUUGGCUUAUUCACUAAGUAAACAUUUAGAAGGCACUUACACUUCUUCAGGCAUUGUACUGAGUGCAGAAUUUGGAUUUCCUCUUUGAUAUAAACCUGACCCAUAGCUAAAUUUCCUUUGAAUAAAAAAAAUUCAUCCAUGU